CCCUUGAGCCGCGGGCCGAGCCCGCCGGAGGGUCGCCCCCUCUCCGCACUGCGUCCGGGGCGAGGAGGUCUCUCCCGACAGCCCCUCCUCGGGCCGGUCCCCGGCGCUCCGGCCCCCUCCGCGGCGAGCGGGGCCGGGAGAGCCCUGAAGAUCGGACGUGAAUUAGGCCAAGUCCCUGCCCGGCGAAAUUCAUUCAUUCGACAUGGAUUUGUCGGGCGCUGGGGACAAGGCGGCCAGCAGCACCCGCGCCUUCCCAGGCCUCAGGAGCAGGCACUGCUAGGCAGGAUGUCACACGCUGCAGCUGGGGGCACCUACCCGCGGCCUAGGGAAAGCUAAAUUCUUUGUGCUUUUGCCUCUCCACUGGAGCACAGUCUCCUCAAGGGCAGGGAUCACUCCAGCACCUAGAAGGCCUCAGAGGGGCAGCAGCCAUGCAGCAAACUUCUGUGAACAGGGAGAAGCCUCCUCACAAGAAUGGAGAGACCCAUUUCAAGACCCACAAACAGCCCAGGGAGGUAGUGGACACCCCAGGGCACCUCUACCCCAUGAACAGCUAAGAAAACUAAAGCCCAUUGCCCCAGCCAGAACUAGCGUUCAGACUCCUGCAUUGGGGACUUUCCACAAGAAGUUUAAUGAAAUGAUUUCUUUUUUCCUUUGUCACAAAUAAUUAUAACAUUAUUAAAACAAAACAAAUAUGUACAUGUGUAUAUAUGUAUCUUUUUAGAGACAGUGUCUCACUCUGUUGCCCAGGCUGGAGUACAGUGGUGCAAUCACAGCUCGCUGCAGAUCUCAACUCCUGGGCUCAAGUGACCCUCCCACCUCCACCUCCCAAAGUGUUGGGAUUGCGGGUGUGAGCCACCACACCCAUCUAUACAGUAUUUUUAAGUUGGCUAUAUAUUGAACUGAUAAUGUUUAGGAUAUAAGGAGUUAAAUAUAUUAUUAAAAUUAAUCAGUUUCUUUCUUUUUCUUCUCUCUCUCUCUCUUUUUU